ensembl:lncRNA
CCUACCUGCUGCUUGGUGAUGAACGCCUGGACGAACUUCUGCAGGACGCCGCAGUAGUUGGUGUAGGCGCCCCGUCCAGCGCUCAGGGUCGCAUCUCUCUGUCAGCCAGGAAGUCAACCAGGAACACAACCAGGAACACAACCAGGAACACAACCAGGAACACAACCAGGAACACAACCAGGAACACAACCAGGAACACAACCAUGAACACAACCAUGAACACAACCAGGAACACAACCAGGAACACAACCAUGAACACAACCAGGAACACAACCAGGAACACAACCAGGAACACAACCAGGAACACAACCAUGAACACAACCAGGAACACAACCAGGAACACAACCAUGAACACAACCAGGAACACAACCAGGAACACAACCAGGAACACAACCAUGAACACAACCAGGAACACAACCAUGAACACAACCAGGAACACAACCAGGAACACACCCAUGAACACAACCAUAUGCAAAGAACGUCUUGCAGUCACGUUUUGUUUUCUAUGAAUAGCUUUACUGUACCGACAGGUAUGUUGUUUCUUCUGACCUAUGUACACAUUGUAAGUGGCUUCGGGUAGAAAAGUCUGCUAAAAGCCCUGAAUGUAAAUGUUCUUUGUUUGUAUAUGCAGAAGAUAUAGACGAUAAAUGAUAGACAAAAUACGAUUGCUUUUACAUUGACAUUAACAUUUGCAUUUAGGGCAUUUAGCAGACGCUUUUAUCCAAAACGACUUACAAUAAGUAAAUAAGUGCCAUGCCCUUACAGUUGCUAGUUUAACCCAUUCUCCGUAUACAACAAAGAUAGCUAGGGUGAGACACUACACAAUGAAAAGUACUAUUAUUAAGUGGCAGGACGUACAACAUACAAUGAGUGCGAACAUUAAGUAACAGUUUUCCAUUACAUAACCGCUCGCUUUUAUUUUAAGUGUUUAUUCGCACUCUGAAAUGAGCAAAACGUAACGUACAAACAACGCUAAGCCGUUGCGUGUUGUUGAUGAGCUCGCUGUUGGCCCACCUCUUUGUGGAUGAACUUGAGGUUGAGGUGGCAGCGCCCGCGGUCGGGGUACGUCUCAGUCCGGGGCUCCAGCUCGUACCAGCUGUCCUCUGUGCAUCGGAGGUCCUGGGUGUGGGGAGAGGAGAUCUUAACAACGGUGGUUUGAUAAGCAACGUGUGACGGAUGGAGGAACAACGAGGUCGAUAGGAAGAUUUACCCGAAGCUUUAAGACAAUGAAUCCCAGAAAGUCGUCUGCCCCCUUUUCCUUUUUGGCGUCUUUGAUCAUCCUAUGGAGACAGCAGUAGGAUUGGUCUUGUCUUCAUGUCUUAAUGUAAAGGCUUAAUGUAAAGGUAAGGGCAUCCCUUAAUGUUAAGGCUUAAUGUAAAGGUAAAGGCAUCCCUUAAUGUUAAGGCUUAAUGUAAAGGUAAAGGCAUCCCUUAAUUCAAUUUCAAAGUGUUUAUUGUCAUAUGCAUAAAUGAUAUACAUAAAUUUAAUGUAAAGGCUUAAUGUAAAGGUAAGGGCAUCAAUUAAUGUAAAGGCUUAAUGUAAAGACCUCCCUUAAGGAGAGGGUCUCAGAGAAGUCCUCCUACCUUCUCAGACUGUUGAAGUUGGUCUUGAGGUCCUCCUACCUUUUCAGACUGUUGAAGUUGGUCUUGAUGUCCUCCUACCUUCUCAGACUGUUGAAGUUGGUCUUGAGGUCCUCCUACCUUCUCAGACUGUUGAAGUUGGUCUUGAGGUCCUCCUACCUUCUCAGACUGUUGAAGAUGCUCUUGAGGUCCUCCUACCUUCCCAGGCUGUUGAAGUUGGUUUUGAGGUCCUCCUACCUUCUCAGACUGUUGAAGUUGGUCUUGAGGUCCUCUAGUUUCUGGGCCAGAGACAGCUGCUCAUCUCUGUCCCUGAAGGAGUAAACAGAGCCAGUGAGGAGGUGUGGAGGAGAGGGGAGAAGAGCUGCUGAUGAUGGGAACAACGAGAAAAACCGCACUCUGAAAGAUCGUCUCACCACAUCUCUAAGUGGAAACUCGCUCCUUCGGUGUCCUCAAACUCACUGGAGACAGGAACAACACAACCACAAGAACACACUGUUAAAGGGAUGACUGCUGCAACCAAACAGACACACGCGACACACACACGCGCACACACACACACGCGCACACACACACACAUACACACAUCCACUCACACUCGCACACACACGCCCUCACAGUAUGAAGAUCUCGUUCCAGACAGGGUUGAGGGUCUGCCACUUGAUUUCCGUUCUGUAGAUGCUCUCGUCCGCCGCGGCGUCCUUCACCACCGACUUGCGGGGUUUGGCCCUGGAGCUCCGAGCGCGACUCUCCUUCUCAUCCUCCAGGAUGGUCAGCAGGCAGUAGGGGUCGCUGAACCCUGGGACACACACACACACACACACACACACACGCAGUAACGCACACGCACCCGGCAAGCAUACAAACACGAGCGCACACAUGAAUGCGCACGCACACGCACACAAACACACGCACGCAUGCACGUACACUCACAGGCACACGCACGCACACAAACACGUGCGCACAUACACUCACACAAACACAAACACACACACAGGCAUGCAUGCACACAUGCACACACACGCACGGACACGAAUACACACACACCAGGAGGUCUUAGGUCAGGUGAAGGUGACUGUAAUAUUUUGAAUACAACCGGUUGAGGUACUCACCACUGAUGUCUUUUCCCAGAAUCCCCUUGGCCUCCUUCACCGUGG